rnacentral:rRNA from 1 species
UNACGGGAANAACCUUACCUACCCUUGACAUCCUCGGAAGCCGAAAGAGAUUUCGGUUGCCUUCGGGAACCGAGAGACAGGUGCUGCAUGGCUGUCGUCAGCUCGUGUUGUGAAAUGUUGGGUUAAGUCCCGUAACGAGCGCAACCCUUGUCCCUAUUUGCCAGCGAUUCGGUCGGGAACUCUAGGGAGACUGCCGGUGACAAACCGGAGGAAGGUGGGGACGACGUCAAGUCAUCAUGGCCCUUACGGGUAGGGCUACACACGUGCUACAAUGGUCGGUACAAAGGGUUGCGAGUCCGCGAGGCCAAGCCAAUCCCGUAAAGCCGAUCUCAGUCCGGAUCGGANUNUGCAACUNGACUCCGUGAAGUCGGAAUCGCUAGUAAUCGGAAUCA